AGGAAGUUGCAAGGUCAAAAAGCUGUAGAAAGAGAGAAAAACAGCAAAUAAAUGAUUGAGAAUGUAGGUGUAUCUUCAAGCACAUAAUAUCUCAUAUUUGUGCACUUAAAGAAAUUAUAAAAAAUGUAAUGCAAAAUCCAAUACUCGAGUCUAAUAUAUAAGCUUAGGGAAAAGAGAUUCUCACUUCUGAUUCUAGUUCUUUCUCCAA
rnacentral:misc_RNA from 1 species